rnacentral:lncRNA from 1 species
UCCGCACACGAUGCUGCGCCAGACGCUCCUACACAGUAACCUGGAAAUUAUCACCGGCGGAGCAAAGUCACAGCUCAGGGAGGCCCUCCGCGUUGUCUGGCGGAGGAGGGGAGUGGCAGGUGAUCCUCACAGCCUAAUUUUACUGAGGAAGAAACAGAAACUCAAAGAGGAGGAGUUGAUUCUGAACCAAGGCCUUCUGACUCCAAGUCCAGUGUUCUUGCUGCCUGAACUUCAGCUGUGACGUGUACAUGCAACCUUACCAUCCAGUGGGAAGAAGAAAAUACCAGAAUUAAGUCACUCUAGGAAAGCCAGCUGCCAUGACAUAAGGAUACUCAGGCCACCAAUGGAUAGCCCAGGCAGGAGGCAUGAAGGUGUGCCAGCCACUGUGUCAGUCACCUUAUAAGCAGAUUUUCUGAGACCUGCUAACAGCCAUGUGAGUGACCUUGGAAGUAGGUUGUCACCAGUCAAGCCUUGAGAUGACUGCAGCCAUGACCCACAGCUUGACUACAACCCAGAGAGACACUGAGCCAGGAACACCCAGCUGAAGUGCCUCCAAACCC